rnacentral:rRNA from 1 species
GUCCACGCCCUAACGAUGAUGACUAGUUGUUGGAGGAGUUAAAUCCUUUAGUAACGCAGCUAACGCGUGAAGUCAUCCGCCUGGGAGUACGGUCGCAAGAUUAAACUCAAAGGAAUUGACGGGCCCGCACAAGCGGUGGAUGAUGUGGUUUAAUUCGAUGCAACGCGAAACCUUACCUACCCUUGACAUGUCAGGAAUCCUCCAGAGACGGGGAGUGCCCGAAAGGGAGCCUGAACACAGGUGCUGCAUGGCUGUCGU